AAGGGGGGGGGAGGAAGAAAAUGGGGGGGGUGGGUAAAUGGGAGGGAAGAAGGGGAGCGCUCACGCUGAGUCCAUGCUUGUCCCGCACUCUGCUCUUCACAGUGGCCCCCUUUGGCCCCCCAGCACCCAUGAAGUUGUCCCCCCAAAGUGUAAUUCAACAGGAGCCCCCUUGGCAAAACUCAGCAGUCCUGUGGCUAAACACUGUAUCCCAUUCGCUCUGUGCUCUCAGCACGCACCCUGCCUUCACCCCUUCCUGGAGUCCUUCCCUCCCUUGGCCUGGGCUUGGGGGCAGGGAGGGGUCAGGAUUAUGUGCCUGGUCUUUCCCAGAAACCAUUUGAUAAUUUUUUUACAGCUGAGAUAUUUUUGAGCAGGUUUUGAUUUUUAUUAGAUCUUUUUGAUAACAAAAAAUAGGUGUUUCUUAUAACAAAUGAAACAAUGUAACUAUAAAUGAAAAACAAUAGUUCUUCCCCCAAUCCUGCCUCACAUGAUUAACAAUGGCCUGGUUAUUCCUUCAGUCAUUCAAAUAUAUAUGUAAUAUCACUACAUAUAUAUAUGUAGUGUGAUCACAAUAUAUGGCAUGUGUUUUGGAUACACAAGCUUAAAUAUCACAUAGUUACUCUUAUAUGAGAAACCCAAAACAUACAGAACAAUAUGAUAGGAGGGAGAUAGAUGUUCUGCAAAUGAGAAGGGGGACCAAGCAAUGUGAGGAGGGAAGAUUAAAAAAAAAAUUAAGAUGUGUUGUGUACGUGUCCCAACUCUACGUGGGGAAUGUGACCAUUAGGUACUGCAAACAUGUAUUAGUAAAAGGUUAAAAAACACUUACAGAAAAAUACCACCCCCCAGCUUUGAACACUUAUCAUUCUUGCCACUUUCUGAAGUGGUUCUGGAAGUCCUCUUUCCCGAGUGACUUUAUCAGGUGUGAUUAAAAAAAAAUAGUGUGGGGCCGGGGAUUUAGCUCAGUGGUUCCAGCUCCUGCUUUGCAAGUACAAGGUCAUGAGUUUGAUCCCCAGUGCCCCCCCAAAAACUCAAUGAAUGCUGGUGCUGAAUGCUAUCCAACAGAAAGAUAGGCUCACAAAAAAUACAUUAUGCUGUGUCCUCACCCAUCUUCUUCACUAGAUCUGGCACUGUGCAGCUUCUGGCUCUUUUCUAAAGUCAAAAUGACCAUGAAAGGAAAACGUUUUGAAAAAGAUUCAGGAUGUGGAAGCAGCCACAACAGCCAACUAAAGACACCCAGGAAAGAGGACUUCAGACCUGCUUCAGAACAGUAGGACAAGUGUGUUUGAAGCAAAGUGACAUAUUGUGAGGGGGAUUAAUAGCAAUAUGUCUUUGCUGUAAUGCUUUUUAAAAUUUGCAUAUUAGCCACAUUUUUUGAUCACACUGCAUGUACUUUUUUGGUACCAGGGAUUGAACUUGGGACCUUUUGAGGCAGGCAACGGCACCACUGAGCUAAGUCCCCAGCCCCACACUGCACAUCUUAAAGCUAACGUUUUCUUUUAAUGUCAUGGAAUUUAGUAUAGAUGCCAAAAUCUCCAGAGUGGCUACCAAAAUGCCAAGCAUAACUGUCACGUUCCCCACGACCAAUCCCAUCUGCAGAUGGAGGGACCAGGCGGUGGUGGAGCUGGGGCCCCAAAGCACACUGGCUGGUCACACUUGUGCCUGCUGCCCUGCCCUCCUCCUAGGGGCAGACUCUGGGGCUGGCCUGAAGAAGGGCUGGAGAAAAUGAUUCUUAUUCUCUGGCAGGUAUAUUUUCCCCAAGCACCUGGAUUUUAAAGGGGCAGAUGCUGCCUUUUUGAAGCAUGAGACAAAGAUCAAGUAGAUGAAUCUCAGGGGUGGUUUCCUGCUUUCCAUUUCCUUUGAAGUUACUGGGAAUAAUGGGGUUAGGAUCUGUGGGUUAGGGUAUGGGGAAGCCCCCCAGGUUGAGGCACUGAGGCCUGGGGUGGAGCCACAGAGAGGGGCCUGGCCCAGCUUUGGGGCCUCUUCACAUUGGACAUUUCCCCCUCAGGCUCCUGCCAAAGCCCUGAUUUUUUGUUUUACUUUCCCCCCUCCUUGCUCUUUAUUUCUGAAAUUUCUAUUUGAAGCUAAGAGAUUUCUUCCAUCUAAACUCAAGACAGCUACAGUAAGCCAGGAUUAACUCUCCCUUCAACCUUUGAGAAAUGGUCUCAGGAUAGGGGCAAGGAUGUUUAGUUUGCCAGGGAGUAAUAAGCAUCUGAGGUUACUCAUCAGUCCCUUAGGUGAAAACCCAGGAGGCUGCCAGAACCAGCCAGCACCUCCUGUCCUGGCCCUCAGGUUGCUCAUGGCUCAAAUGAUAGUGUUUUCUUUGCCCCUCAAGGUCUGACAGGCAUUGCUUGUCUUCUAUUUCCUAGUUGCAAGGUAUUUUUUUUCAAUUUGGAACAUGUGUUCUAAUUUGAAAACGAAUGAGUUUUCUUCAGUAAAACUUGCCACCUUUCAAAGAGGUUUGCUCUAACCCAAGCUUAGACACUAGUGGCCAGAGCCAGAGGUUUGGGUGGAGAUGGGCCUGCUGGCUGUGUGCCCCCACUUUGGACUCCACCAUCUUUGGGCCCACCAUGGCCUGGUUAUGACACACACAUGGCCUUGCCCACCACGGAUCUGGAGCCACUUCUGCCAAAGACUGGAGGAAUAAGAAAAGCCAGUCCAGCCUGUUGGAUCAGUAACACAGAUAAGCAAGAGUAAGAAAGCUGUCCGUUCCUGAGUAAAAACACCAAAGCUCCACAACCCCCUGUACCUUCACAACACUGCAGAGUAAGCCAUGGCCCCCAAUUGUACCCCGAGGAUGCUGCUGCCCUAGGUAGCAACACUGCCAGCAGCCUCUACCCAAGGUAGAAAUGACUGUCAUCUACUCGUUUCAGGAGAGCAACGGGGUCCCCCAAGAAAUUAAGGUCUUUUUCAAAAUAGCAUUCUGGGGUCCCUUUUUGAACCUCUGUAGCUGUCAAUUCUACAUGGCUCUGCGGGGCUGGGAUGAAGCCCGGUGGGAUUAAGGAGACUUGGAGAUGUUUUAGAAUAAGCAGCUUCCGACUAUUAGUAACUUCACACCUACGGCUAAGGCUCAACCCUCCCUGCCCCCUUUCUUAGCCCAAAAGGACAUGAUCAUUCUGUUGUGGGUGUGAAGCAGCAGGUGCACCCAUCUGUGCUUCUACACAGAAUAGGACCACACACCCUCUCCAUCCCCACCAAGCCCCCGAAGGAAGUGUAUGACUCAUGGAUGCCUAUAGAAGUGUUAUCAGCCUGCGCACACAUGUGUGUGCCUGUACAUGUGUAUGUGUGUCUACAAACACAUGUAGAUGCAUAUCCUCUCUUCCUACUGAUUCUGCUCCACAAAUUUUUGCCAAAUCUGAUAACCAUGCUUUUUCAGUUCUGUCCCAUCCAGGUCUUCAGGUACAUGACUUUCAAAAAUCAUAAGAACAAAAGUCAACUUAUUUAACCUCGACAGUUAUAGGCUAGAGAGCCACUGUUUCCAGCUGUCCUUGUUGGCCCAGACCUCUCCAGGGUAUCCCCCUCCCAGAGUUCCCCAGAACCACACCGUCAACCAGCACGCACGGCAGGACAGCCAGCUCCCAGGGUUCCUUCUGGGUUGUGUUAUAAAGUCUGGCAGAGACAUCAACACAUGUCAACAUGUUCCUUUUGGUGACAUGUUUGUCUUUUCCUUGUUAGCUUUGGUUCAAGGCUGUAAAUCCAUAAGAGGAAGCGGUUUCCAAGCCUAAGCAAAAAAGUGAGCAGAUGCACUUCAUGGACUUUGGGGUUUCUCUGUGCAGAUCUUCCCCUCCAUCACUUACCUCCCCAUUAUUUUUCUUAGAAAUCCAAAUAAAAAGGAUAUUUGGUGAUCAAAGUGAAUUCAACAGGCAGGGCAUGAAUGGAUACAAACCACCAAGCUCCCAGUGAGCUAUGUCUAUGGUCAGAUGUUGAUGAGAUCCAUCCUGGUCCCCAUAUUUGUUGCCUCUGAAGGGAUUGGAUCCUUCUCUCUGCUUUUUCAUCUGAGCCUCUGCAGUUCUCUUGUUCUUUGCUCUGUUCUGUCUCUGCUCUGGUUUGAACCCUGCUAUGUCAGCUCUCUUGUCUCCUUUUUAUUAUUCAAACCGUCUUUGAGCUGUUGGCAUUAGUUCUGCAGGGUGCCUGGGAGGGAAUUCUGAAAGCUCCAAAAUGGUCCCCCUCUACCUCCAGUGGAAGAGGAGGACCCAGGAAACCCAGCAAAACAAGUCCGGUUUUAUUGGUUCUUCCUCUGAGUAAAAAACUGCUCAAGUUUUGAACAAAUUCGUAUACAGCAUAAACACUUAUCCAGAGUUAAAUCUAAAUCCAUCCAGGCAGUUUCAUGUUGACAAAAGGUAAGGAUUUACCAUGUUAGGGUAUCCAAAAGAAUUUGCCAUAGACUCUGAAGAAAUUUAAAGCAGAAGACUGCACAUGGCAGGGAAGAGCAUGUGACACAGGUGACCAGGUUCUGACCCACAACUGAUUCUGGGCACCUGUGAACAAGUUACUACAUCACUAGGAGCUCUAGUCUUCACCUUCACCUUGGACAUCAUCUCCUGGCUUCCAGUGCUGAUUCUUCAGCUUCUGGUGCAGAGCCUUCAGCCUUCCACUGCAGACCCAUCGACCUCCGGAUUCAGACUCACACAGAACACUGCAGUGAGCUCCAGACCUUCGACUGAAUCCUUCGGUCUCCAGUGUGCAGACAGACCCCCUGCACUCUUCCACAUCCGACUCUGUGGGUGGUCAUUGUAAGCCGAUCUUGCAAAUUCUUAAAUAUUUGUAUAUCUUGUGUUAUAUCUGUUUCACUAGUAAACACUGACUGAUACAAAUUUUGGUACUGGGAGUGGCACUAGAAAAACAGAAUUGUAAAGAUGAAAUUCUUUAAUGGCUUUAGGGGUUCCUGGAGUUGGUGCUCUAAUUUGAUGACACCUAAAGACGCCAUGGUCUCCUAAUUCUAUGGGGAACACUGACAGUCCUUGAUGUAAACUGUUUAAAGUAAUAUGCAGUGAAGUUCCAUUGGAUUAUCCUGAUUUGAGUAGGAUUUGAUUACCACUUUUAGCAACUCCAUUUUUGGCAGAGUGGGAAACAUAAUGAUGCUGGCUGGUUGGUCUUACCAUCUCUGGACAAACUAGUGAAGGAAAGCAGUGACUUCAAAACAUCCAUAGGAAAUCUAAAUUCUUUUGACUGGGACAAAUUAAAAAUAAAGGAGUCCAAAGAUUUAAAUUUCUUAUGUGUCUGACGCUGGGAAUUUAAAAGUUUCUAAUCGUGUCCUGAAAGAAAAUCCCCUCUCUUUUUUAGCUGCAGGGCUGAGAUUCCAGAAACUCAAACACAGGCCCUCAUAAUUCAAUUGGCUGAACUGCAGUGUAAGUUUAAUGCUCAGCUUCAAAGGGCAUCUGAAGCAAAGGUGAGGGCACUGAUUGGAAAAUAAUGGGAUCCCAUAAAAUGAGACCCAGAGAUGUUUGAGAGGAAUCCUGAUGAAGCUGAGGAUGUUGUGUUUCUAGAGGCUAAUGAGAUUAUUUUGCAAGAGAAAAAGAUUUACCCACUGACAGUGGUGGAGGCACCCCUACCCCUUGUGGUGCUGGCCUCUCCUAGUAUACCUGAGGACACUAAGCCUGUGUUGACCAAGCAUGAUAAUGCCAACGCUCCUCAGAACCCACCUUCGCCACCCACGUUUGCCUCUAGUCCUGUAAUCAGGCUCAAGUCAGAAGGGUCCUAAGGGUGAGGUCCAUAGUGUGACCCAUGAGGGAGGAUGUCUGCUGUUCUCCCAAAGAACUUCUUGAGUUUUCUAACUCUUAUAACCAGAGGCCUCCUGAACAAGUUACAGGUGUAGGAUAAUGGUGGCAAAACUAUACACUUGGACCAGGCUGAGUUUGUUGAUAUGGCCCGGUCAAGCAGGGAUCCUGAAUUUAAUCUUGUGGCUCGUGGAGUAAAGAAAGGUGUUAGUAGUGUAUUUGGCUUGCUGGCAGAAAUAUAGAUCAAAAGGUGGCCCACUGUGAAUGAGUUAGAGAUGCCCGAUAUGCCAUGGUUUUCUGUUGAUGAGGGGAUUCCAGAGGCUCAGGGAAAUGAGAAUGCUGGAGUGGUUCUGUCAUGUUAAACCCAAUCCUCCACACUGGGGUGAUCCAGAAAAUGUACCCUUCACUAACAUCUUGAGAAACAGAUUUGUGAGGAGAGCACUGGCACCCCUGAAGAGCCCUGUCAUUGCUCUUCUCUGCGUGCCAGGCCUUACAGUGGGGACCGAGGUUACUCAAUUGGGACAUUUAAGGGCAAUGGCUUGACUGGAUCCUGGAGUGAGAGAGGGCCAAGUGGCAGCACUUAAUCACCGAAGGCAGCAAUAGACAACAGAAGCAGAACGAUGUCCAGAAUGGUCUGACACGUCUAGACGUAUGGCAUUGGCUGAUCAACCAUGUGUUCCCAAUUUACUAGAUUUAUAUAAUUGAAAAAAUUAAAGGGCAAAUGAACACAAACCUACUUCAAGUCAUGGUAACAAGGAAUUAUGACCCCUCAACCAGUUCCCAAAUUUGAGCCAGUUUAUGCCCUCUUUGAGAAAUGUCCAAAAAUGGGAUGAAUAAGAGAGCCCAAAGUCCUAGAUCUUAUCCUUUGAAACCUUCAAUUCUACAGUAAGGGCAUCAUUUGGUCAUGGAACCGAGGACAAAUGACCUUCAGAGAUGACUGAAUAUCUGCUUUUACCAAUGGGAAAUCCUCACGGGCAUUGUGAGCAUCAUUUGUUACACAGAAUCAUGGACAGGGAAGGAAGACACUUUGCCCUGAGUUAAAGGUUGUACAUUUUCUGGCACUUUAAAUAUUCUGGCCUCCCACGAAACAUGUCAAGCACAUGAAAGCAGUCUGAACCCCCUCUGCUGCCUUGGCUUCAAAUGAUUGCAGAUCUUUGCCAAAGACCGGCUCUCGACCACUCUCAACCUGCUGAUCACACCCUGGCUCUGCUCUCACAAGCUUAACUCCUGCUUUUGGUUCUGUGAUUGCUGUUUCCGACUUAGAGGAAGCAUCCUGGCUCAUAGAUCUCCUGGCUAGACCCACCCUCUCUCUUCAACCCUCCCUUCCUUCCCCUGGGCCUGUCACCGAGGAGGGGACUGGCUGAGAGUUGGCACUCCUCGUUGUCCUCUGAUGCUAUGUUCCCUCCUCCCCCACGAUGGCAGCAACUUAGCACAAAGAAAAGGAGCAAGUUAAUAUUUCCCACAAUCUGGGGGAGAAGGAAGGGUCUUUCUAGUUUGAUAAUGUUUGGAAACACUAGUUUUCAAGGUGUAAAUCAAUACAUCAUUAUUUAAUGACAGUCUAGAAUGGAGAAAGAUAAAUGACAUAAAAACCCUUAGAAUUUACUAUCUUGCUGCUAUUGUUACCACUGAUUAUUAAAGUUUUCAAAAAUCACAUCACAGGAUCUUACAAUCUUAAAAGAAUAAAAGUCCAGAGAUAAUGUAAUCUUCAUAAAUUAUUUUCAAGAGCCAUCCAAUUGUGUUAAGCUUUUGCAAAGUGCAUUAAAAUUCUAAUUCUUUCGAAAUGAAUUUGGAACAUUUACGAUGAACACACCAUAUUAUUUUGGUUGAUUUGGUCUACCUGUGAAAAAGCAAAGUAGUCCAGCCACUGAUUUAGAAUUAUGUGGAUGCCACCAGAAAAGUAAUCAAACUGAUAAUUUAAGGUUAUAAGAAUACCCUAAGAAAAGUAAUCAGCAACAUUGUCCACUUUUCAAUGAUUACACAAACACAAUUCUAUUAAGUCCAUCAACCAAAAAGGAAAAAAAAAUCUUUAUAUCUCUCUUCUCCAUUGUACUGGAAGGCUGGUAAAAAGAACCUCAGAAGAGAAAAGAAACAGCUAUUAAAAAGUUGAAUUCCUGUCUACACAGGGCCAAAACAUCUAGUGGCCCAGCUGUUUGGCACUGCAUAGACAAAGCAUCCAGAUGACUGGCUGAACGUGUGAAAAAAUUGCUGAAGUGGACCAGAUGUUUUGCUUCUCAGGGCUUUUGGGCCCCGUGGUCCUUGGAGACAUCAAGAGAAAGCACAUGUCCCCAUGGGACCUAUGACACCUGUGUAGUCCCUGGAGACCACAGUGGGGUCUCCAUUGCAAACCUCAAGGCCUACCAUAGGGAAAUCUAUGGGCAGGCACUGAGGGACACGAUGUGCUCUUUGAGCUCCCUGCUGUGGGAAGUCACUGAGUCACAUCUAUCUUGAGGCACUGUGGUUGAAUUUCCAAACAUUUCCCCUCGGGACUUUCUCUUGCAACCCAAGCUCCAGGCUCUCCUUUCCCAGCCCCAGUGCUGUGGGCUUUUUAUAGCCAACAGUCAAAGCUGAAAUCUAGAACUCUAUUUUUCUCCAUGUACCCCUUACCUACCCCUUUCUGUGUGUGCAAAGUGGGAAAGGGAAAAUCAGAAUCCUGCCCAGUGUCCUUCCACAACCGCCCCAAAGCCCAGCACUAGACACAACAAAACCAAGUGAGAAGGGACAUCCAGCCCCACAGGGCACAGACACCACGGGGCUGGAGCACACAGGGUUAGCAGCACUGGGAGGUGACUUGACAGGGUGGGUCAGAACCACAGAAUCGGGGGAGUCCAGUCCCACACAUUUCUUUGAAACGGUGUCUUAAGGAAACUGAGGCCAGCGGGCAGGGAGACCUCUCCCCAUCGUGUGAUUACUCAGCUCCCAACUGCAUCCCCCAAACAGCCUGGGCUUCCAGCAGAAAGCUGUGCUGUGCAAUUACUCUGUUAUAUAACUUUUGUUUUCAGAGAAGGGAUUUGUUUUGUUUCUUUUCUGGAAAGCAAUUUUUAAAGAUUUCCUUUAUGUCAAUGUUUUCGGAGGCCUUCCCUGGGACAGUGUGCUGUUUUUCUAAAAAGAAAAAGCAAAACUGCUGUCUCGCCUCCUCCAAGAGAGACUUAUUAAAUAAAGCAAUCUCCAGCAGCCACCGGAGGACUGAAUGCCUUGCUCAUCAGGAUGCAAUUAAUAGGACAAGGGAGUGAUGUGGGAAGGAAAAUGGGAGAAGGAAUAACACCCUGCUGCCCUGGUGAGGUCAGCCCCAGCCUGUGCUGGCAGAAGGAGUUCGAGUACCCACUGAAAAGUUGAAAGAACAUCAGCCCCAUGAGCCCCAGACAUCCAGGAAGAGCACCCCGACUUCACUAAUUCCAAAGGCGGCAGGGACCAGCAUCAAAACUGAUACACGAAAACAGAGUGUGAUUUUCCUCUCUUUGGACUGAAAAAAACCCCUUCUCCCUUUUCUAACCACCUCCACCCCUGCCUCUCUCCCUCCCCCGCCGCCCCUCUUCUCCCAGGGAUUGGCUUUAUUUAAAAACUAUAUUUCUGCCCAGGCAUUCAAAAAUGCUGAGUGCCUCAAGCAAAGUAGUAGAAUAAGCAUGUUUCUUACCGCUUCUUGGCAACCCUGCAGCCCAAGACCUGCUUCCAAUUAGAGUUCAUGUGGCUUCAGUUUAGUAUUAUCAUGAAGUGAAAUUACCACUUUAAAAAAGUCAAGUUAUUUUGGAAGUGAAAACUACAGGUCAGAGCCCACCAAAAUUCCAAAAAAAGUUUGCUCAAGAAACAUCUUGCUGAAGGGUCACAAUGGCCCAGCUGAUAAACAUCCUGAGGGUUGUGACUUAUGCCACUGACCGGCAGGCCUCUGAGGUCCUUUUGGGAAGGUCAGGUUCAUCAUCCUUCCAGGAAGGGCUUCUCCUGCUGGGCAACGCAGCCCGCCCUGCUUGUAGAGAGCUGCCCCCAGUGCCCUUGGCCUCCAGCCCACUGACCUGGCUGCCCCUCUCUCCUCACCAGCUCUUCUCCCCUAAAGUUAAUGCCCCCCACUCUCAAAAAGAUCUUAAAUUCCUGAAAGCAAGGGCCAUGUCUUCACUUUUGUAUAAUUGCACAAAUUCUUAGAAUAGGAAGGGAUCCCGUCCAAUUACUUAGUUUUCAAGAUAAUAAGGCUUAUUAUUAAGUUGUUUCUGGCAAUGCACUCUGGGUACUGAGGUCUCUGGCCACCUCAGGGUCUUCCCCAAAACCCCAGUGCCUUCCCAGCCGCACAAACCCCUAUGUCAGCCCUGGAUAACACCCUGGAAAUGCCGGAGGCCUUGGUUCAACUCCACUCACUGGCGAUCGGACACAGGUUGCUUUAUUUAUUUGAGCCUUUCUUUACUCAUUGUUCAACCGGGGAAAUAUAAAUAUCUCCCUCCUUGACAAGCUGAGGAUAAAAUAAAAUGAUGUAUGGAUUUCGCCCGUAUGUAAAAGCGCUAAAGAAGUGAUUGUUUUCUUGUCAUUAUUAUUAUUUUUUGGAAUGUGUCCGAUGGAACUGGAACACAGAAUUUUUAUAGCAAGCUCCGCAGCAUGUCAUAUGAAAACAUGCGUUUGUUUAGGGGAAAUGGCCUGUGUCAGCUUUCUGGAAGCAUCUCUGUUAUUAUGAAAUUCCAGGAACUGGAAUAAAAUAGCAAGAG
rnacentral:lncRNA from 1 species